CAGCAGCCGCGGUAAUACGGAGGGUGCAAGCGUUAAUCGGAAUUACUGGGCGCAAAGCGUGCGUAGGCGGUUCGUUAAGUCUGUUGUGAAAGCCCCGGGCUCAACCUGGGAAUGGCAAUGGAUACUGGCGAGCUAGAGUGUGUCAGAGGAUGGUGGAAUUCCCGGUGUAGCGGUGAAAUGCGUAGAGAUCGGGAGGAACAUCAGUGGCGAAGGCGGCCAUCUGGGACAACACUGACGCUGAGGCACGAAAGCGUGGGGAGCAAACAGGAUUAGAUACCCCAGUAGUCCCUGUCUCUUAUAC
rnacentral:rRNA from 1 species